GAGAAGCUUGCUUCUCUGAUGUUAGCGGCGGACGGGUGAGUAACACGUGGAUAUCCUACCUAUAAGACUGGGAUAACUUCGGGAAACCGGAGCUAAUACCGGAUAAUAUUUUGAACCGCAUGGUUCAAAAGUGAAAGACGGUCUUGCUGUCACUUAUAGAUGGAUCCGCGCUGCAUUAGCUAGUUGGUAAGGUAACGGCUUACCAAGGCAACGAUGCAUAGCCGACCUGAGAGGGUGAUCGGCCACACUGGAACUGAGACACGGUCCAGACUCCUACGGGAGGCAGCAGUAGGGAAUCUUCCGCAAUGGGCGAAAGCCUGACGGAGCAACGCCGCGUGAGUGAUGAAGGUCUUCGGAUCGUAAAACUCUGUUAUUAGGGAAGAACAUAUGUGUAAGUAACUGUGCACAUCUUGACGGUACCUAAUCAGAAAGCCACGGCUAACUACGUGCCAGCAGCCGCGGUAAUACGUAGGUGGCAAGCGUUAUCCGGAAUUAUUGGGCGUAAAGCGCGCGUAGGCGGUUUUUUAAGUCUGAUGUGAAAGCCCACGGCUCAACCGUGGAGGGUCAUUGGAAACUGGAAAACUUGAGUGCAGAAGAGGAAAGUGGAAUUCCAUGUGUAGCGGUGAAAUGCGCAGAGAUAUGGAGGAACACCAGUGGCGAAGGCGACUUUCUGGUCUGUAACUGACGCUGAUGUGCGAAAGCGUGGGGAUCAA
rnacentral:rRNA from 1 species